GCCGCGUUGGCGCAAUGGUAGCGCGUUGUUUUCCGGUAGCAAAGGCUCUCGGUUCGAGUCCGGGGCGUGGCU